rnacentral:rRNA from 1 species
UACGUAGGGGGCAAGCGUUGUCCGGAAUCAUUGGGCGUAAAGAGCGUGUAGGCGGCCAGAUAAGUCCGCUGUGAAAUCUCGAGGCUCAACUUCGAGCUGUCGGUGGAAACUGUCUGGCUAGAGUCCGGAAGAGGAGAAUGGAAUUCCUGGUGUAGCGGUGAAAUGCGCAGAUAUCAGGAAGAACACCCGUGGCGAAGGCGGCUCACUGGCCCGGUACUGACGCUGAGGCACGAAAGCGUGGGGAGCAAACAGG